GUUUUAUCUGUCUUAAAUAAGACUCCUUCUUGUCUUUUUGCUAGGUAGUCACGUGGUAUAAAGAGGCAGAUCCACAUGUCCAACUCCCCCCAUCCUCUUGUUUAUUAAGUAAAGGACCCAGUGGCCUGCACUUGCUGAAGGAUGAGGGACAGGAUAACUACAAGGUGCAGGCCCACACUGCAGUCAGAACCAGCUCGGCGCUGUCAGCCAGUCUUCACUUUCUGGGAAAGAUCGUCAUAACUUGGAGAACAAUUAGGCUCCCAGAAAGCAAAACAAACCCUUGUUUUGUAUGAGCCUAUUUAUUCAGCAGUCAGCAGUCAGCUGUCUGAAUCCCUGGAAUUCUUGCUGCCUCAUGGGCUAAGCCCAACCCCCUAACCUGACAGCUAAGACCAGUCAGAGGCAAUACGGGGCGUGCAGGUGAGCCUCUUAAAUAACCUCACCCAUUGUGGCCCAGGAGCUCCAUUUCCUCCUCUUCAGCCCUCUCUCCGUGUCUACCACUCUAAAAGGCAUCCACAGGGAGACAGGGAGGGCAGGAGAAGGUGUACUAGAGACAAACAGGCAAAGCCCCUGGACUGUGGGAUCGCCUAACAGACACAUACCUAUAGACACAAGCUUGUGUGCAGAAUCAGCACAAGUUCGGAUCUACGGGUUUGUGGCAACAGGCUUCAGUGUCUUCUCUUGUGUGUGGGUUGACUUGUCUGAAGAUAGAAUGUUAAAGCCAUUAGUCCAACAAAAAAGAGUUUGUCAUUGGCUCAUUUAAUCCAACAACAGAUUUUGCGAUUGGGUCAUUUCAUGCCAGAAACUAGGUAUCUCCUCCAGUAGACCUAGUUUUUCAUUUGCUUGAUGAAGUGAGCUUCAGGUGAGCUUUAUUUGAUCAGAAUCCUCAUCUAUUUAGCCCAAACCAAUGUCAAUAUGGCCAAUAAGAAGAAUGAGACAGAUUCUAAGAGAUAGAACAAGUGCCUGGAUGCAAGGUAAUUCUUUUAACUUCUGCAAUUCUGUGGUAAAGGUUAUUGAGAUCUGCCCCCCCAUUUUGUUUGUUUGUUUGCAUGUCAGAAAAAACAAGCAGAAUUAACUAGCAAGCACUGCUAAAAGAAACUUGGAAGAGAGCUUUCCCAACUCAUCUUAGCAGAGAUUUCAUUACACUGAACUAUGACGUUCCUCUUCAAGAAGUUUGUGGCUUUGAGCCAUCCUUUCCCAACACCAGAAUUGACCCAAAUAUAAACAACAAGAAAGUAUGGGGGUAUUUUUAAAAAUCAAGUUGUAAAAGAAAAUAAAUCCCUACUAACCCUAAAACUACUGAAGGGGAUAAGGUUGCCUCUCUUUCCUUAUUAUAAAAAGAUUUCAUUUGUUAAGACACAAUCAAUUGUUCACACAAAGUUAAGGCAGCAUAGGAAGAAUGGGACCUUCAAGACAACGGACCUUUGUAAAUGGCCCCUCCUCUGAACUCCUGUAGACAUGGUCAUCACAAAAAUCACUUCAGGAAAACUUGUUGGACAUUUAGACAAUCCCUUCCCUAGAUGUCAGGAAAAGCAUAUACCUUCUGCCUUUGAACAGCCUUACCACAGACAUUUUAAAUCUCUGCCAGCUGGCUUUGGCCUUCAAGAGGAUCUUGUUCACCUUAUCAAAUGGACAUUUACUUGCUGAGAGCCCAGAAGAUAAACAGAGGCUCAACAACAAUGAAAGCCCAAUUGGCGAACUAUUCAUGGAGUAGGUUCGGCUUCACGCAUGCAUCCUAAUAGGUAAAAUAGGAACCUAGGAACGCAAGAUGAUCUGAGAUGCUACCCCGGUGUUCCUUAUCUGCCUGGUUCACCCCAGAGCCACACCCACAAGUGUUUACAGUUAGACGAUGAUGUAGAGGUUGCAGUAUCUGAGAACCACAUCAAGAAGCAACCAAACCAUGAUUCCCCCUAAAGAGUCUCUGCAUCACUUAUUUUUUGUUUUUUGUUUUCUUGGGGUUUGUUUGUUUGUUUGUUUGUUUGUUUGUUUGUUUGUUUUCAAGACAGGAUUUCUUUGUGUAGCCCUGGCUGUCCUGGAACUCACUUUGUAGACCAGGACAGCCAAGGCUAUACAGAGAAACCCUGUCUUGGAAAACGAUAAUAAAUAAAUAAAUAGAUAAAUAGAUAAAUAAAUAAAUAAAUGAAUGCUUACACUCUAACUUCUGUUUCUCUUCAUAGCAGUCAAUCA
rnacentral:lncRNA from 1 species